rnacentral:lncRNA from 10 species
GUUCUACUUCAGCAAUAAUUUCUAGUUCCUUAACUCCUUCUGGGCAACCAACUGAAGAUUACUAAGACGUUUUCUAACCAGCUGUAUCUAGGACCAACUCAGACAUCAUGGAUAUUUAGAAAGUUUGGGCUCAUUUACUUCAAAGGUGAUUGCAGUAUUCUGCCUUAUAACCUGUUUAACUGCUUUCAGAAACAAGUUUAACACAACCUCUUCUGCAGAUUUUCCAGCUGAAUAGUGUCAGCUUAGGGCCUUGCAGAAACCCUUUCUUGCUGUCACUCAUUUCCCAUCCUAUGAAAUAACUCCAGUUGCACUAGAACAUCACCCAAAUGGAUGGCUUCUUCCAUACUCUGGAUUAUGGAAAAAAGAUGUUUCUGCCCAGUUGUCAACCCAGUGAAAGAAGCAAGGGAUCCAUAAAGGUCAGGCUUUUGGAGACCAAGAGAAGUCUAUUUAAUAAGAAAAGAUGAUCUGGAGGGCAUAAAAAAGCUAUCUAACAGUUUAAUUCAUGAAUCAAAAAGGGGACCAAUUCAUAUGAAUGUACUUAAUUAUUUCCCAUCCUUUAAAACUGCACUGUGUAUGAAAUUAUUUACAGAAUAGUCUUAUGGAAAAAAAUGCAAUUAUUGAAGACUGCUUCUUAUAUGUGUGUGUGUAUGUGUGUAUGGUAGUGGUGGGGUGAUUCUAUUAUGCCUUCUUAAAUCUCCUGAACUGUAUUGCAGGCAUCUUAGCUGACCUAUUUAUCGUCACCAAGAAUAUCAUCGGAUGAGCUGGGUCAAUUUUAAUAACAUUUUCUGUAGGAUUAUCAUGUUAGAGUAAACCAUAGACCUCACCAAGCAAUAAAAUUAACCAUUAGGAGAUAUCGUAUAGCUCUAUAAAACUGACGUAGUAAAGUUAGUAUUACCUCUAGAUAUUAUAUAUUCACAAUAUGUUUGAGCAAGGAAACCAGGCUCUUUUAAAUGAUGACACUCAAUGAUUGAAAGAUAAUCGAUGCCAACAAAAAUACUAGAACUGGAGACAGAGACAAUUUUCUAUUGAAUAAUCAUGAGUUCCUAAAUGUGAUUCUUAUCCAUUGGUUUUUAGUAGAAUUUUAAGGUGGAUAUUGCCAGUUUUAUAUUAGAUGACCAAUGAUAUAUUUCCAAAAAUAGGUCAGAUGCUCUCCCUUUGAGUCUGGAAAAUACUAACCACAUGAGUUAACUUUGAAGGGCUCUUCUGACUUAUAGGAGAUGAACAAUGUUUCCUAUGGCCUACACUGAGGAAUUUGUUUCCAUUCAGACCACAAGCUGUUUCAGUGUAUUGUCCCUGUCAUGUAAUAAAUACAAAACAAAUAUUAUUUAUUGUUAUUACAUAGCAAGUUUUAAAUUAUUCCUUCUCUGUAUAUAUCCUUUUCAUCCUGUGUUCUUACAUCUUUACAAUGUCUUGCUUCUUUCUACCAGGACAAAUUAAGUAAAGCUUAUCCUAGGGCAGAGAUAUUCUUUUCAUUUUGUUUAAAACCACUACAUCUUUCAGGAAAUUCAAACAGAGUCAGAUUCUAUUUGGCUACCCCUUUCCCCUAGAACACUUUCAACUAUUUUGUUUUGAGUUUAUUGAAAAGUUUUAGAAAAUACUCAAAGAAGAAAUAAUUAAGAAGCCUUGAAGGUGGAAAAAUUAUGGACCAAAUUUUGAAGUCGAGAAUGUUCUCAUUCGUGUUACAUUUGUUUUUUAUAAUUUUACUUGCUGUCUCUUUGUAGAAUUAUAGUUAUGCCACAGCUAUAAAUAUAAAACAAAGGCUUGGUUUUAUAGUUUAUUUUCUCUUGUCUAACAUUUCCAUUGGAAACACUAAGUUUCUGGUUAUAAAUUUCCUCAGUAGUAUUAAGGAAGUCUGCUUACCAUCUCAACAGCUAAGUCUGCAGGACCUGAGAUGCAAAGCCUCACUCAGAUGUUUCUGCUGAACCCUUCUGUGGGUUAUUACUCCUGAGUGAAUAACUCUAUCUUUGGGAAUUGUAUUCCUGGGUUACUCUUGUUUUUGUUCCAUAGAUUUUCUGGUAAGGGAAGGAGUAAAGAAAACGUCCUAGUGUAACACCAAACCCCAUGUGAGGAUGCUCAGAAUGGCAUAAAGAAUGGUAGGGAUUAACCAUCCGAACACAUGGAGAACAUUUAGAACAGUAUCCAGCAAACGGUAAGUAAUAGUUUUAUAACAGCAAUUGUAAUAAUCAUCAAUAGCUUCCUUAGUUGUAGUGUAAUAAUAUAAGGAAGAUAUAUCUCCUACAAGGAAAAAAAGACAGAAAAGCAGCUAAGAG